rnacentral:rRNA from 1 species
UGGGGAAUAUUGCACAAUGGACGAAAGUCUGAUGCAGCAACGCCGCGUGGAGGAUGACACAUUUCGGUGCGUAAACUCCU